UGGUGAGGACGAGGAACACGUACAACCUGCAUUACGGUGGAGAGCGCCCUAAGUCUACCAAGCAGGCGGACGCCGUCACGGCCAAGCUCUUAUACCAUGCCGUGGACGGGCGAGGCCUACUGGAAGCAAGCAGGGUCCCAGAGCCGAACGGCUGGGUUCUCAGCUCCAGUCUGGUAGAGCCUUUAUCGACUUGGUGAAGGUGAGGGGGAAAUUUGCUCCCCACCGGAUCCAGAUCGAGCCGUGGUAGAUGGGGAUCAGGGAACGAAGGAUGGUGUGAUGCAGGUUGUCGUGUAAAAGAGUCUCUGAACCACAUCUCCCAAGCAUGUGUUCGGACCCAUGGCGGAAGAGUCCGGCGGCAUGACGCAGUCUCGCGCUUCAUCUGCGGCCGACUAAGACAACGUGGGUUCAUCACCAUAGAGGAACCAAGGAUUCCAACACCAGCGAGGAUCCGAAAGCCGGACAUAAUAGCCGACAAAAACGGAAAGCCCGGUGGUGUUGGACACGCAGAUCAAGAGCGACACUCUCAGGUUGUCGGAAGAACACGCGAGGAAAAGGAGGUACUAUGACACUCUGGAUGUCCUCGACUGGGUAAGGAGCAAGUUCGGCAGUGAGAAUGCUCCACUUGUCUCUACCCAUCAUUCUCAGUUGGCGCGGAGUUUGAACGCUGGAAUCAGCUGCCAUGCUCCGCAGACUCGGCCUUAGUCAAGCCGACCUAAGACUCAUCUCCGUGAUGGUCAUACAAAAGACUGCCCUGAUCUUUAGGGAGUUCAAGCGGUUCAUGCACACGUGCACCACGUGGCGCCAGUAGAAGGUCGACCUCACUCCAGAAUCAUUCCGCGAGAAAUAUCGGACGUACGGAUGGACGUCAAAGAGGCGAUAAGUCGCAAGGUUGGUCCUGGUCAACCGACCGCGUGACAAUUGAAAGGCGGAGUGGUCGACGGGAGGAUACACGGUCCGCCCGUGGAGGCCAUCACACCACAGGGCAUGCACCGGGCCACUCGUCGUGCCCUCUGCAAGUGGAUGAUGGGAGGAUAGAGGAUGCGCCCGAGAAGAGAAUGGGGGUUCUCCUGGCUCAACCGCGGGGUACGCGUCAGGCUUCCUAAAACCCAUCUGCUCAGCAUUGAGCGUCCAGACGGCAGGGAGAUAGGUGCUUGCGACUCCAGGCCUCUACACCGAGGGGCACAAAGGAGCGCCUGCACGAACAGGUGAAAAAGCGGCAGCACGCCGACAGAGUGACAGAUAUGGCACCUUGAAGGUAAAUUACACCCCGUGAAGGAAAAGUAGUGCGAGCACCGGGUCGAGACCAGACUCGUGAGCUUGGCUAACAUAGCCAAAUGCCUCGUCAUCUAACUCGUGACGCGCAUGAAUGGAUGAACGAGAUUCCCACUGUCCCUAUCUACUAUCCAGCGAAACCACAGCCAAGGGAACGGGCUUGGCGGAAUUAGCGGGGAAAGAAGACCCUUUUGAGCUUGACUCUAGCCUGAUUCUGUGAAGGGACUUGAGAGGCAUAGAAUAAGUGGGAGGCCCGCCGGGGCUCACGUGGUCCGAUCCUGUGAGGGGUGCAGGGCGCGCGUUGUCACCGACCCGGAGCCGCCGGUGAAAUACCACUACUCUUUCCGUUCCUUUACAAACCCGGUGAGACACUGGUCGGGGGGUCCCGCGUUUCUGGUGCGAAGCCUAAGGGUCGGUCGGCAUGGCGUGCCUUCGCGCGCCUCGUGUGCGUGUCGCGCGCGCUCGCCGGCGAGCGGCUCGGGCGAUCCGCUCCUGGGACAGUUCCGGGCGGGAAGUUUGACUGGGGCGGUACGCCUGUCGAAGGGUAACGCAGGUGUCCCAAGGCGAGCUCAGGGAGGACGGAAACCUCCCGUGGAGCAGAAGGGCCAAAGCUCGCUUGAUCUUGAUUUUCAGUACGAAUACAGACCGUGAAAGCGUGGCCUCGCGAUCCUUUUGACUUUUUGGGUUUUAAGCAAGAGGUGUCAGAAAAGUUACCACAGGGAUAACUGGCUUGUGGCGGCCAAGCGUCCAUAGCGACGUCGCUUUUUGAUCCUUCGAUGUCGGCUCUUCCUAUCAUUGCGAAGCAGAAUUCGCCAAGCGUUGGAUUGUUCACCCACUAACAGGGAACGUGAGCUGGGUUUAGACCGUCGUGAGACAGGUUAGUUUUACCCUACUGAUUCUUUUGUCGCCGGGACAGCAAUCCCGCUCAGUACGAGAGGAACCGCAGGUUCAGACACUUGGCGCAUGCGUCUGGCUGAGCAGCCAGCGGUGCGAAGCUACCAUCUGAAGGAUUAUGGCUGAACGCCUUUACGUCAGAAUCCCUCCUUGGACACGGCGAUACUGUUGAGCGUGGGACAGCGUAUACGACUCUUGAGCCGGUGUUCCCUCCGAAUUUCGGAGGGCGGCUUCCGGCGCGGUCCUCCGCACGGCAUCGAUUUC
rnacentral:rRNA from 1 species